AUUGAACGCUGGCGGCAGGCCUAACACAUGCAAGUCGAGCGCGCGGCGGACGGGUGAGUAAUGUAUGGGGACUGCCCGAUAGAGGGGGAUAACAACUGGAAACGGUAGCUAUUACAGCAUACGAUAGGAUAAACCAUAUUGGAUUAGCUAGUGGUGGAGGUAAUGGCUCACCGAGGCGACGAUCCCUAGCUGGUCUGAGAGGAUGAUCAGCCACACGGGGACUGAGACACGGCCCAGACUCCUACGGAGGCAGCAGUGGGGAAUAUUGCACAAUGGGCGCAAGCCUGAUGCAGCCAUGCCGCGUGUAUGAAGAAGGCCCUAGGGUUGUAAAGUACUUUCAGUCGGGAGGCGUUACCGACAGAAGAAGCACCGGCUAACUCCGUGCCAGCAGCCGCGGUAAUAC
rnacentral:rRNA from 1 species